rnacentral:lncRNA from 1 species
GCGGAUUUCUAAAAAAGAGAGAGGGGGCAAAUAAACUAAUCACCCAGCAAUGUGGGAAAGGUGAUUAAUCAUUUUUUUCAUUAUCAGGUGAGUUAAUUAGGAGGUACUUGAUACUCUGAGAGGUCUCCAGAAAGCUGGAUAGGGUCGUCAAAAGAAAAAAAAAAAAAACUUGUAAGUGAAGUUAGCCAAUCCCAAAAAAACAAAUGCUGAAUGUUUUCUUUGAUUCAUAGUGGGAUAGGGAGCGGGAACAUAGGAGGAAGAUGAACUCUAGACAGCACAGAGGGGUUGGAGGGGAAGAGAGGUGGCAUGGGGUUAAUUAUGGUGGAAUGAAAAACCAACCAAACAACAACAACAACAACAAAAAAAAAAAACCAAAGCCAUAGCUUGUGAUUAACAGCAGAUUUCCCCAUAUUGCCAAAAGCCUGUGAAAAAGUUUGUAAUGUAC